UAAAAUGUCGGUAAAAUGUGCAACUCGUCAUUAAUUCACAAGUUUUUUGCUGAGUAAACACAAAACAAACACAAGCGCAGUACCAAGGACAAAUGCUGGAUAAUGUCAUCUAUCCCCGACAUCAAAAUAUCCAAGAUUGACAUUGCUUCGUCAAACGAGCGCUAAAAAGGAGCAAAUUAUGAGCAGCAAUACUCCAGUUUGGCAAAACUAUGUCGUCCGACACCAGUCGAAAUGGAUAAAUAUCUACGCAGACUGCUAAAGGGUAUUCAAAACUGCUGCUGCCAAAUAAAAAGUGACGAGCCGCCUACCGUUCAAUUAAAGCGAGUUCAGGAUUGCCCCUCUGUUCACCUAAAGCCCCUCAACAACAAUAGGCUAGCAGACAGAGUCAAGUUUACAAAAAUCCCUGCCGUCCGUUUGUGCAUGUAAGUUUGGUAGCUGUGAAGGCAUUACAGCCUCUUCCAGAAUAGCGCAUUGUUUUUUAUGCCAUACUCGUAUAAGUCACUAAAGAUUUCUUACCUUUACUUCAUAUCGUCCAAUUCUUAAUAAAGUAAUUAGAGAAACAAAACAUAUGUUUGUCCAAGAAUUCCAGUAGUGGGAUGUUCGUAGACUCUAAAAUGGUCGCUAGCAUAUGGAAUUAGUCCUUAAUUCACAACGUUCUUGCCGAUUGACCACAAAACAAAUCCAGGGCCUGUACCAAGGACAAAUGCAGGGGCCGAAUUACCGCAUGCGUGAACGAGUAAACUUGGGUCGCAAUUCUCCACUUUUGUAAAACGAUUUCGUCCGGAAUCAGCUAAAAUUAAUAAUAAUCUAAGCAGACUGCUAAAAGACAACAAAAACUGCUGCAGCCAGUGAUCAGCCUAAUACCGCUCACCAAAAGUCACCGUUCAAUGAAAGCUGAGCUCGAAUAUGCUGCCACCCAAUCUCGAUUUCCUUCAUUUAUAUGCAGGCUCUUGUUUGAAUGCAAAUAAAGUCCUCUUGAACGUGGCAAUAACUUUCAUUUAUUUGUAGCAUACAGCUAAACCUAUUAUUGCUAAGUAUGGCGAUCAUCUUACUACCGUCCACCAAAAGACACCGUUCAAUGAAAGCUGGGGCCGAAUUACAGUAUAAGUGAACGAGUAAAAUCGUUCGAAAUCUCUCUAUUGUCAUUAUGUAUCUUUUUGUUGAACGGGGAUUUUCGAAAUUUAGGAACGCGAGUAUUUAAGUCGUUCAUUAUUUAUCAAAACUUUGACAAAAAAAUGUAUAAACAAGAGGCAUAACUUCCAUUAAAUACAAGUUGAAAUACAUUUCGAUACGAAAGCGCACUCGAUCACGUAUGCGGCAAUACGGCCCCUGAGCUCAAAUACGCCGCCACUCAAUCUCGAUGUCUUUUAUUUUUAUGCAGGCUCUUGUAUAAAUGCAAAGUCUUAUUAAACGUGGCAGAUAAAUACUUAUCAGCCGUCUACCUUUCAUCAAAAGUCAUCGUUUGAUAAAAGUUACGAGCAGCGAGUUCAGGAAUACGCUGCUGGUCAACUUAAACCCUUCAACAACAAUUGGCCAACAGACCUAGAACAAUUUACGGGAAGCUGUCAAUUCAACAAAUCCUGCCGUCCGUCUGUGCAAGCCAGCUAACAAAAUGAAAACUACGAACUGGACUACAAUCGUUCCUAGAAUAUUCAAUAAGAUCAACAUCGCCUACUAAACAAAAGAAGAUUCGUUUAAUUUGUUUUCAGAAAUUCAGCAAUAAACAUACCUAACUACUUUUCUCACUAGGAUUUCCAGCCACUUACAGAAUAGGGAAUUGUUUUUAUUGCUAUACUCUUAUAAUGAACUAAAUUUUUUUUACCUUUAAUUCACCAUAUACAUUUCUAAUAAUAGUGAUCAGAGAAUCAAAACACUUGUUUGUCCAAGUACACCAGUUAUGGAGUGUUCGUAGACUCUAAAAUGUCGGUAAAAUGUGCAACUCGUCAUUAAUUCACAAGUUUUUUGCUGAGUAAACACAAAACAAACACAAGCGCAGUACCAAGGACAAAUGCUGGAUAAUGUCAUCUAUCCCCGACAUCAAAAUAUCCAAGAUUGACAUUGCUUCGUCAAACGAGCGCUAAAAAGGAGCAAAUUAUGAGCAGCAAUACUCCAGUUUGGCAAAACUAUGUCGUCCGACACCAGUCGAAAUGGAUAAAUAUCUACGCAGACUGCUAAAGGGUAUUCAAAACUGCUGCUGCCAAAUAAAAAGUGACGAGCCGCCUACCGUUCAAUUAAAGCGAGUUCAGGAUUGCCCCUCUGUUCACCUAAAGCCCCUCAACAACAAUAGGCUAGCAGACAGAGUCAAGUUUACAAAAAUCCCUGCCGUCCGUUUGUGCAUGUAAGUUUGGUAGCUGUGAAGGCAUUACAGCCUCUUCCAGAAUAGCGCAUUGUUUUUUAUGCCAUACUCGUAUAAGUCACUAAAGAUUUCUUACCUUUACUUCAUAUCGUCCAAUUCUUAAUAAAGUAAUUAGAGAAACAAAACAUAUGUUUGUCCAAGAAUUCCAGUAGUGGGAUGUUCGUAGACUCUAAAAUGGUCGCUAGCAUAUGGAAUUAGUCCUUAAUUCACAACGUUCUUGCCGAUUGACCACAAAACAAAUCCAGGGCCUGUACCAAGGACAAAUGCAGGGGCCGAAUUACCGCAUGCGUGAACGAGUAAACUUGGGUCGCAAUUCUCCACUUUUGUAAAACGAUUUCGUCCGGAAUCAGCUAAAAUUAAUAAUAAUCUAAGCAGACUGCUAAAAGACAACAAAAACUGCUGCAGCCAGUGAUCAGCCUAAUACCGCUCACCAAAAGUCACCGUUCAAUGAAAGCUGAGCUCGAAUAUGCUGCCACCCAAUCUCGAUUUCCUUCAUUUAUAUGCAGGCUCUUGUUUGAAUGCAAAUAAAGUCCUCUUGAACGUGGCAAUAACUUUCAUUUAUUUGUAGCAUACAGCUAAACCUAUUAUUGCUAAGUAUGGCGAUCAUCUUACUACCGUCCACCAAAAGACACCGUUCAAUGAAAGCUGGGGCCGAAUUACAGUAUAAGUGAACGAGUAAAAUCGUUCGAAAUCUCUCUAUUGUCAUUAUGUAUCUUUUUGUUGAACGGGGAUUUUCGAAAUUUAGGAACGCGAGUAUUUAAGUCGUUCAUUAUUUAUCAAAACUUUGACAAAAAAAUGUAUAAACAAGAGGCAUAACUUCCAUUAAAUACAAGUUGAAAUACAUUUCGAUACGAAAGCGCACUCGAUCACGUAUGCGGCAAUACGGCCCCUGAGCUCAAAUACGCCGCCACUCAAUCUCGAUGUCUUUUAUUUUUAUGCAGGCUCUUGUAUAAAUGCAAAGUCUUAUUAAACGUGGCAGAUAAAUACUUAUCAGCCGUCUACCUUUCAUCAAAAGUCAUCGUUUGAUAAAAGUUACGAGCAGCGAGUUCAGGAAUACGCUGCUGGUCAACUUAAACCCUUCAACAACAAUUGGCCAACAGACCUAGAACAAUUUACGGGAAGCUGUCAAUUCAACAAAUCCUGCCGUCCGUCUGUGCAAGCCAGCUAACAAAAUGAAAACUACGAACUGGACUACAAUCGUUCCUAGAAUAUUCAAUAAGAUCAACAUCGCCUACUAAACAAAAGAAGAUUCGUUUAAUUUGUUUUCAGAAAUUCAGCAAUAAACAUACCUAACUACUUUUCUCACUAGGAUUUCCAGCCACUUACAGAAUAGGGAAUUGUUUUUAUUGCUAUACUCUUAUAAUGAACUAAAUUUUUUUUACCUUUAAUUCACCAUAUACAUUUCUAAUAAUAGUGAUCAGAGAAUCAAAACACUUGUUUGUCCAAGUACACCAGUUAUGGAGUGUUCGUAGACUCUAAAAUGUCGGUAAAAUGUGCAACUCGUCAUUAAUUCACAAGUUUUUUGCUGAGUAAACACAAAACAAACACAAGCGCAGUACCAAGGACAAAUGCUGGAUAAUGUCAUCUAUCCCCGACAUCAAAAUAUCCAAGAUUGACAUUGCUUCGUCAAACGAGCGCUAAAAAGGAGCAAAUUAUGAGCAGCAAUACUCCAGUUUGGCAAAACUAUGUCGUCCGACACCAGUCGAAAUGGAUAAAUAUCUACGCAGACUGCUAAAGGGUAUUCAAAACUGCUGCUGCCAAAUAAAAAGUGACGAGCCGCCUACCGUUCAAUUAAAGCGAGUUCAGGAUUGCCCCUCUGUUCACCUAAAGCCCCUCAACAACAAUAGGCUAGCAGACAGAGUCAAGUUUACAAAAAUCCCUGCCGUCCGUUUGUGCAUGUAAGUUUGGUAGCUGUGAAGGCAUUACAGCCUCUUCCAGAAUAGCGCAUUGUUUUUUAUGCCAUACUCGUAUAAGUCACUAAAGAUUUCUUACCUUUACUUCAUAUCGUCCAAUUCUUAAUAAAGUAAUUAGAGAAACAAAACAUAUGUUUGUCCAAGAAUUCCAGUAGUGGGAUGUUCGUAGACUCUAAAAUGGUCGCUAGCAUAUGGAAUUAGUCCUUAAUUCACAACGUUCUUGCCGAUUGACCACAAAACAAAUCCAGGGCCUGUACCAAGGACAAAUGCAGGGGCCGAAUUACCGCAUGCGUGAACGAGUAAACUUGGGUCGCAAUUCUCCACUUUUGUAAAACGAUUUCGUCCGGAAUCAGCUAAAAUUAAUAAUAAUCUAAGCAGACUGCUAAAAGACAACAAAAACUGCUGCAGCCAGUGAUCAGCCUAAUACCGCUCACCAAAAGUCACCGUUCAAUGAAAGCUGAGCUCGAAUAUGCUGCCACCCAAUCUCGAUUUCCUUCAUUUAUAUGCAGGCUCUUGUUUGAAUGCAAAUAAAGUCCUCUUGAACGUGGCAAUAACUUUCAUUUAUUUGUAGCAUACAGCUAAACCUAUUAUUGCUAAGUAUGGCGAUCAUCUUACUACCGUCCACCAAAAGACACCGUUCAAUGAAAGCUGGGGCCGAAUUACAGUAUAAGUGAACGAGUAAAAUCGUUCGAAAUCUCUCUAUUGUCAUUAUGUAUCUUUUUGUUGAACGGGGAUUUUCGAAAUUUAGGAACGCGAGUAUUUAAGUCGUUCAUUAUUUAUCAAAACUUUGACAAAAAAAUGUAUAAACAAGAGGCAUAACUUCCAUUAAAUACAAGUUGAAAUACAUUUCGAUACGAAAGCGCACUCGAUCACGUAUGCGGCAAUACGGCCCCUGAGCUCAAAUACGCCGCCACUCAAUCUCGAUGUCUUUUAUUUUUAUGCAGGCUCUUGUAUAAAUGCAAAGUCUUAUUAAACGUGGCAGAUAAAUACUUAUCAGCCGUCUACCUUUCAUCAAAAGUCAUCGUUUGAUAAAAGUUACGAGCAGCGAGUUCAGGAAUACGCUGCUGGUCAACUUAAACCCUUCAACAACAAUUGGCCAACAGACCUAGAACAAUUUACGGGAAGCUGUCAAUUCAACAAAUCCUGCCGUCCGUCUGUGCAAGCCAGCUAACAAAAUGAAAACUACGAACUGGACUACAAUCGUUCCUAGAAUAUUCAAUAAGAUCAACAUCGCCUACUAAACAAAAGAAGAUUCGUUUAAUUUGUUUUCAGAAAUUCAGCAAUAAACAUACCUAACUACUUUUCUCACUAGGAUUUCCAGCCACUUACAGAAUAGGGAAUUGUUUUUAUUGCUAUACUCUUAUAAUGAACUAAAUUUUUUUUACCUUUAAUUCACCAUAUACAUUUCUAAUAAUAGUGAUCAGAGAAUCAAAACACUUGUUUGUCCAAGUACACCAGUUAUGGAGUGUUCGUAGACUCUAAAAUGUCGGUAAAAUGUGCAACUCGUCAUUAAUUCACAAGUUUUUUGCUGAGUAAACACAAAACAAACACAAGCGCAGUACCAAGGACAAAUGCUGGAUAAUGUCAUCUAUCCCCGACAUCAAAAUAUCCAAGAUUGACAUUGCUUCGUCAAACGAGCGCUAAAAAGGAGCAAAUUAUGAGCAGCAAUACUCCAGUUUGGCAAAACUAUGUCGUCCGACACCAGUCGAAAUGGAUAAAUAUCUACGCAGACUGCUAAAGGGUAUUCAAAACUGCUGCUGCCAAAUAAAAAGUGACGAGCCGCCUACCGUUCAAUUAAAGCGAGUUCAGGAUUGCCCCUCUGUUCACCUAAAGCCCCUCAACAACAAUAGGCUAGCAGACAGAGUCAAGUUUACAAAAAUCCCUGCCGUCCGUUUGUGCAUGUAAGUUUGGUAGCUGUGAAGGCAUUACAGCCUCUUCCAGAAUAGCGCAUUGUUUUUUAUGCCAUACUCGUAUAAGUCACUAAAGAUUUCUUACCUUUACUUCAUAUCGUCCAAUUCUUAAUAAAGUAAUUAGAGAAACAAAACAUAUGUUUGUCCAAGAAUUCCAGUAGUGGGAUGUUCGUAGACUCUAAAAUGGUCGCUAGCAUAUGGAAUUAGUCCUUAAUUCACAACGUUCUUGCCGAUUGACCACAAAACAAAUCCAGGGCCUGUACCAAGGACAAAUGCAGGGGCCGAAUUACCGCAUGCGUGAACGAGUAAACUUGGGUCGCAAUUCUCCACUUUUGUAAAACGAUUUCGUCCGGAAUCAGCUAAAAUUAAUAAUAAUCUAAGCAGACUGCUAAAAGACAACAAAAACUGCUGCAGCCAGUGAUCAGCCUAAUACCGCUCACCAAAAGUCACCGUUCAAUGAAAGCUGAGCUCGAAUAUGCUGCCACCCAAUCUCGAUUUCCUUCAUUUAUAUGCAGGCUCUUGUUUGAAUGCAAAUAAAGUCCUCUUGAACGUGGCAAUAACUUUCAUUUAUUUGUAGCAUACAGCUAAACCUAUUAUUGCUAAGUAUGGCGAUCAUCUUACUACCGUCCACCAAAAGACACCGUUCAAUGAAAGCUGGGGCCGAAUUACAGUAUAAGUGAACGAGUAAAAUCGUUCGAAAUCUCUCUAUUGUCAUUAUGUAUCUUUUUGUUGAACGGGGAUUUUCGAAAUUUAGGAACGCGAGUAUUUAAGUCGUUCAUUAUUUAUCAAAACUUUGACAAAAAAAUGUAUAAACAAGAGGCAUAACUUCCAUUAAAUACAAGUUGAAAUACAUUUCGAUACGAAAGCGCACUCGAUCACGUAUGCGGCAAUACGGCCCCUGAGCUCAAAUACGCCGCCACUCAAUCUCGAUGUCUUUUAUUUUUAUGCAGGCUCUUGUAUAAAUGCAAAGUCUUAUUAAACGUGGCAGAUAAAUACUUAUCAGCCGUCUACCUUUCAUCAAAAGUCAUCGUUUGAUAAAAGUUACGAGCAGCGAGUUCAGGAAUACGCUGCUGGUCAACUUAAACCCUUCAACAACAAUUGGCCAACAGACCUAGAACAAUUUACGGGAAGCUGUCAAUUCAACAAAUCCUGCCGUCCGUCUGUGCAAGCCAGCUAACAAAAUGAAAACUACGAACUGGACUACAAUCGUUCCUAGAAUAUUCAAUAAGAUCAACAUCGCCUACUAAACAAAAGAAGAUUCGUUUAAUUUGUUUUCAGAAAUUCAGCAAUAAACAUACCUAACUACUUUUCUCACUAGGAUUUCCAGCCACUUACAGAAUAGGGAAUUGUUUUUAUUGCUAUACUCUUAUAAUGAACUAAAUUUUUUUUACCUUUAAUUCACCAUAUACAUUUCUAAUAAUAGUGAUCAGAGAAUCAAAACACUUGUUUGUCCAAGUACACCAGUUAUGGAGUGUUCGUAGACUCUAAAAUGUCGGUAAAAUGUGCAACUCGUCAUUAAUUCACAAGUUUUUUGCUGAGUAAACACAAAACAAACACAAGCGCAGUACCAAGGACAAAUGCUGGAUAAUGUCAUCUAUCCCCGACAUCAAAAUAUCCAAGAUUGACAUUGCUUCGUCAAACGAGCGCUAAAAAGGAGCAAAUUAUGAGCAGCAAUACUCCAGUUUGGCAAAACUAUGUCGUCCGACACCAGUCGAAAUGGAUAAAUAUCUACGCAGACUGCUAAAGGGUAUUCAAAACUGCUGCUGCCAAAUAAAAAGUGACGAGCCGCCUACCGUUCAAUUAAAGCGAGUUCAGGAUUGCCCCUCUGUUCACCUAAAGCCCCUCAACAACAAUAGGCUAGCAGACAGAGUCAAGUUUACAAAAAUCCCUGCCGUCCGUUUGUGCAUGUAAGUUUGGUAGCUGUGAAGGCAUUACAGCCUCUUCCAGAAUAGCGCAUUGUUUUUUAUGCCAUACUCGUAUAAGUCACUAAAGAUUUCUUACCUUUACUUCAUAUCGUCCAAUUCUUAAUAAAGUAAUUAGAGAAACAAAACAUAUGUUUGUCCAAGAAUUCCAGUAGUGGGAUGUUCGUAGACUCUAAAAUGGUCGCUAGCAUAUGGAAUUAGUCCUUAAUUCACAACGUUCUUGCCGAUUGACCACAAAACAAAUCCAGGGCCUGUACCAAGGACAAAUGCAGGGGCCGAAUUACCGCAUGCGUGAACGAGUAAACUUGGGUCGCAAUUCUCCACUUUUGUAAAACGAUUUCGUCCGGAAUCAGCUAAAAUUAAUAAUAAUCUAAGCAGACUGCUAAAAGACAACAAAAACUGCUGCAGCCAGUGAUCAGCCUAAUACCGCUCACCAAAAGUCACCGUUCAAUGAAAGCUGAGCUCGAAUAUGCUGCCACCCAAUCUCGAUUUCCUUCAUUUAUAUGCAGGCUCUUGUUUGAAUGCAAAUAAAGUCCUCUUGAACGUGGCAAUAACUUUCAUUUAUUUGUAGCAUACAGCUAAACCUAUUAUUGCUAAGUAUGGCGAUCAUCUUACUACCGUCCACCAAAAGACACCGUUCAAUGAAAGCUGGGGCCGAAUUACAGUAUAAGUGAACGAGUAAAAUCGUUCGAAAUCUCUCUAUUGUCAUUAUGUAUCUUUUUGUUGAACGGGGAUUUUCGAAAUUUAGGAACGCGAGUAUUUAAGUCGUUCAUUAUUUAUCAAAACUUUGACAAAAAAAUGUAUAAACAAGAGGCAUAACUUCCAUUAAAUACAAGUUGAAAUACAUUUCGAUACGAAAGCGCACUCGAUCACGUAUGCGGCAAUACGGCCCCUGAGCUCAAAUACGCCGCCACUCAAUCUCGAUGUCUUUUAUUUUUAUGCAGGCUCUUGUAUAAAUGCAAAGUCUUAUUAAACGUGGCAGAUAAAUACUUAUCAGCCGUCUACCUUUCAUCAAAAGUCAUCGUUUGAUAAAAGUUACGAGCAGCGAGUUCAGGAAUACGCUGCUGGUCAACUUAAACCCUUCAACAACAAUUGGCCAACAGACCUAGAACAAUUUACGGGAAGCUGUCAAUUCAACAAAUCCUGCCGUCCGUCUGUGCAAGCCAGCUAACAAAAUGAAAACUACGAACUGGACUACAAUCGUUCCUAGAAUAUUCAAUAAGAUCAACAUCGCCUACUAAACAAAAGAAGAUUCGUUUAAUUUGUUUUCAGAAAUUCAGCAAUAAACAUACCUAACUACUUUUCUCACUAGGAUUUCCAGCCACUUACAGAAUAGGGAAUUGUUUUUAUUGCUAUACUCUUAUAAUGAACUAAAUUUUUUUUACCUUUAAUUCACCAUAUACAUUUCUAAUAAUAGUGAUCAGAGAAUCAAAACACUUGUUUGUCCAAGUACACCAGUUAUGGAGUGUUCGUAGACUCUAAAAUGUCGGUAAAAUGUGCAACUCGUCAUUAAUUCACAAGUUUUUUGCUGAGUAAACACAAAACAAACACAAGCGCAGUACCAAGGACAAAUGCUGGAUAAUGUCAUCUAUCCCCGACAUCAAAAUAUCCAAGAUUGACAUUGCUUCGUCAAACGAGCGCUAAAAAGGAGCAAAUUAUGAGCAGCAAUACUCCAGUUUGGCAAAACUAUGUCGUCCGACACCAGUCGAAAUGGAUAAAUAUCUACGCAGACUGCUAAAGGGUAUUCAAAACUGCUGCUGCCAAAUAAAAAGUGACGAGCCGCCUACCGUUCAAUUAAAGCGAGUUCAGGAUUGCCCCUCUGUUCACCUAAAGCCCCUCAACAACAAUAGGCUAGCAGACAGAGUCAAGUUUACAAAAAUCCCUGCCGUCCGUUUGUGCAUGUAAGUUUGGUAGCUGUGAAGGCAUUACAGCCUCUUCCAGAAUAGCGCAUUGUUUUUUAUGCCAUACUCGUAUAAGUCACUAAAGAUUUCUUACCUUUACUUCAUAUCGUCCAAUUCUUAAUAAAGUAAUUAGAGAAACAAAACAUAUGUUUGUCCAAGAAUUCCAGUAGUGGGAUGUUCGUAGACUCUAAAAUGGUCGCUAGCAUAUGGAAUUAGUCCUUAAUUCACAACGUUCUUGCCGAUUGACCACAAAACAAAUCCAGGGCCUGUACCAAGGACAAAUGCAGGGGCCGAAUUACCGCAUGCGUGAACGAGUAAACUUGGGUCGCAAUUCUCCACUUUUGUAAAACGAUUUCGUCCGGAAUCAGCUAAAAUUAAUAAUAAUCUAAGCAGACUGCUAAAAGACAACAAAAACUGCUGCAGCCAGUGAUCAGCCUAAUACCGCUCACCAAAAGUCACCGUUCAAUGAAAGCUGAGCUCGAAUAUGCUGCCACCCAAUCUCGAUUUCCUUCAUUUAUAUGCAGGCUCUUGUUUGAAUGCAAAUAAAGUCCUCUUGAACGUGGCAAUAACUUUCAUUUAUUUGUAGCAUACAGCUAAACCUAUUAUUGCUAAGUAUGGCGAUCAUCUUACUACCGUCCACCAAAAGACACCGUUCAAUGAAAGCUGGGGCCGAAUUACAGUAUAAGUGAACGAGUAAAAUCGUUCGAAAUCUCUCUAUUGUCAUUAUGUAUCUUUUUGUUGAACGGGGAUUUUCGAAAUUUAGGAACGCGAGUAUUUAAGUCGUUCAUUAUUUAUCAAAACUUUGACAAAAAAAUGUAUAAACAAGAGGCAUAACUUCCAUUAAAUACAAGUUGAAAUACAUUUCGAUACGAAAGCGCACUCGAUCACGUAUGCGGCAAUACGGCCCCUGAGCUCAAAUACGCCGCCACUCAAUCUCGAUGUCUUUUAUUUUUAUGCAGGCUCUUGUAUAAAUGCAAAGUCUUAUUAAACGUGGCAGAUAAAUACUUAUCAGCCGUCUACCUUUCAUCAAAAGUCAUCGUUUGAUAAAAGUUACGAGCAGCGAGUUCAGGAAUACGCUGCUGGUCAACUUAAACCCUUCAACAACAAUUGGCCAACAGACCUAGAACAAUUUACGGGAAGCUGUCAAUUCAACAAAUCCUGCCGUCCGUCUGUGCAAGCCAGCUAACAAAAUGAAAACUACGAACUGGACUACAAUCGUUCCUAGAAUAUUCAAUAAGAUCAACAUCGCCUACUAAACAAAAGAAGAUUCGUUUAAUUUGUUUUCAGAAAUUCAGCAAUAAACAUACCUAACUACUUUUCUCACUAGGAUUUCCAGCCACUUACAGAAUAGGGAAUUGUUUUUAUUGCUAUACUCUUAUAAUGAACUAAAUUUUUUUUACCUUUAAUUCACCAUAUACAUUUCUAAUAAUAGUGAUCAGAGAAUCAAAACACUUGUUUGUCCAAGUACACCAGUUAUGGAGUGUUCGUAGACUCUAAAAUGUCGGUAAAAUGUGCAACUCGUCAUUAAUUCACAAGUUUUUUGCUGAGUAAACACAAAACAAACACAAGCGCAGUACCAAGGACAAAUGCUGGAUAAUGUCAUCUAUCCCCGACAUCAAAAUAUCCAAGAUUGACAUUGCUUCGUCAAACGAGCGCUAAAAAGGAGCAAAUUAUGAGCAGCAAUACUCCAGUUUGGCAAAACUAUGUCGUCCGACACCAGUCGAAAUGGAUAAAUAUCUACGCAGACUGCUAAAGGGUAUUCAAAACUGCUGCUGCCAAAUAAAAAGUGACGAGCCGCCUACCGUUCAAUUAAAGCGAGUUCAGGAUUGCCCCUCUGUUCACCUAAAGCCCCUCAACAACAAUAGGCUAGCAGACAGAGUCAAGUUUACAAAAAUCCCUGCCGUCCGUUUGUGCAUGUAAGUUUGGUAGCUGUGAAGGCAUUACAGCCUCUUCCAGAAUAGCGCAUUGUUUUUUAUGCCAUACUCGUAUAAGUCACUAAAGAUUUCUUACCUUUACUUCAUAUCGUCCAAUUCUUAAUAAAGUAAUUAGAGAAACAAAACAUAUGUUUGUCCAAGAAUUCCAGUAGUGGGAUGUUCGUAGACUCUAAAAUGGUCGCUAGCAUAUGGAAUUAGUCCUUAAUUCACAACGUUCUUGCCGAUUGACCACAAAACAAAUCCAGGGCCUGUACCAAGGACAAAUGCAGGGGCCGAAUUACCGCAUGCGUGAACGAGUAAACUUGGGUCGCAAUUCUCCACUUUUGUAAAACGAUUUCGUCCGGAAUCAGCUAAAAUUAAUAAUAAUCUAAGCAGACUGCUAAAAGACAACAAAAACUGCUGCAGCCAGUGAUCAGCCUAAUACCGCUCACCAAAAGUCACCGUUCAAUGAAAGCUGAGCUCGAAUAUGCUGCCACCCAAUCUCGAUUUCCUUCAUUUAUAUGCAGGCUCUUGUUUGAAUGCAAAUAAAGUCCUCUUGAACGUGGCAAUAACUUUCAUUUAUUUGUAGCAUACAGCUAAACCUAUUAUUGCUAAGUAUGGCGAUCAUCUUACUACCGUCCACCAAAAGACACCGUUCAAUGAAAGCUGGGGCCGAAUUACAGUAUAAGUGAACGAGUAAAAUCGUUCGAAAUCUCUCUAUUGUCAUUAUGUAUCUUUUUGUUGAACGGGGAUUUUCGAAAUUUAGGAACGCGAGUAUUUAAGUCGUUCAUUAUUUAUCAAAACUUUGACAAAAAAAUGUAUAAACAAGAGGCAUAACUUCCAUUAAAUACAAGUUGAAAUACAUUUCGAUACGAAAGCGCACUCGAUCACGUAUGCGGCAAUACGGCCCCUGAGCUCAAAUACGCCGCCACUCAAUCUCGAUGUCUUUUAUUUUUAUGCAGGCUCUUGUAUAAAUGCAAAGUCUUAUUAAACGUGGCAGAUAAAUACUUAUCAGCCGUCUACCUUUCAUCAAAAGUCAUCGUUUGAUAAAAGUUACGAGCAGCGAGUUCAGGAAUACGCUGCUGGUCAACUUAAACCCUUCAACAACAAUUGGCCAACAGACCUAGAACAAUUUACGGGAAGCUGUCAAUUCAACAAAUCCUGCCGUCCGUCUGUGCAAGCCAGCUAACAAAAUGAAAACUACGAACUGGACUACAAUCGUUCCUAGAAUAUUCAAUAAGAUCAACAUCGCCUACUAAACAAAAGAAGAUUCGUUUAAUUUGUUUUCAGAAAUUCAGCAAUAAACAUACCUAACUACUUUUCUCACUAGGAUUUCCAGCCACUUACAGAAUAGGGAAUUGUUUUUAUUGCUAUACUCUUAUAAUGAACUAAAUUUUUUUUACCUUUAAUUCACCAUAUACAUUUCUAAUAAUAGUGAUCAGAGAAUCAAAACACUUGUUUGUCCAAGUACACCAGUUAUGGAGUGUUCGUAGACUCUAAAAUGUCGGUAAAAUGUGCAACUCGUCAUUAAUUCACAAGUUUUUUGCUGAGUAAACACAAAACAAACACAAGCGCAGUACCAAGGACAAAUGCUGGAUAAUGUCAUCUAUCCCCGACAUCAAAAUAUCCAAGAUUGACAUUGCUUCGUCAAACGAGCGCUAAAAAGGAGCAAAUUAUGAGCAGCAAUACUCCAGUUUGGCAAAACUAUGUCGUCCGACACCAGUCGAAAUGGAUAAAUAUCUACGCAGACUGCUAAAGGGUAUUCAAAACUGCUGCUGCCAAAUAAAAAGUGACGAGCCGCCUACCGUUCAAUUAAAGCGAGUUCAGGAUUGCCCCUCUGUUCACCUAAAGCCCCUCAACAACAAUAGGCUAGCAGACAGAGUCAAGUUUACAAAAAUCCCUGCCGUCCGUUUGUGCAUGUAAGUUUGGUAGCUGUGAAGGCAUUACAGCCUCUUCCAGAAUAGCGCAUUGUUUUUUAUGCCAUACUCGUAUAAGUCACUAAAGAUUUCUUACCUUUACUUCAUAUCGUCCAAUUCUUAAUAAAGUAAUUAGAGAAACAAAACAUAUGUUUGUCCAAGAAUUCCAGUAGUGGGAUGUUCGUAGACUCUAAAAUGGUCGCUAGCAUAUGGAAUUAGUCCUUAAUUCACAACGUUCUUGCCGAUUGACCACAAAACAAAUCCAGGGCCUGUACCAAGGACAAAUGCAGGGGCCGAAUUACCGCAUGCGUGAACGAGUAAACUUGGGUCGCAAUUCUCCACUUUUGUAAAACGAUUUCGUCCGGAAUCAGCUAAAAUUAAUAAUAAUCUAAGCAGACUGCUAAAAGACAACAAAAACUGCUGCAGCCAGUGAUCAGCCUAAUACCGCUCACCAAAAGUCACCGUUCAAUGAAAGCUGAGCUCGAAUAUGCUGCCACCCAAUCUCGAUUUCCUUCAUUUAUAUGCAGGCUCUUGUUUGAAUGCAAAUAAAGUCCUCUUGAACGUGGCAAUAACUUUCAUUUAUUUGUAGCAUACAGCUAAACCUAUUAUUGCUAAGUAUGGCGAUCAUCUUACUACCGUCCACCAAAAGACACCGUUCAAUGAAAGCUGGGGCCGAAUUACAGUAUAAGUGAACGAGUAAAAUCGUUCGAAAUCUCUCUAUUGUCAUUAUGUAUCUUUUUGUUGAACGGGGAUUUUCGAAAUUUAGGAACGCGAGUAUUUAAGUCGUUCAUUAUUUAUCAAAACUUUGACAAAAAAAUGUAUAAACAAGAGGCAUAACUUCCAUUAAAUACAAGUUGAAAUACAUUUCGAUACGAAAGCGCACUCGAUCACGUAUGCGGCAAUACGGCCCCUGAGCUCAAAUACGCCGCCACUCAAUCUCGAUGUCUUUUAUUUUUAUGCAGGCUCUUGUAUAAAUGCAAAGUCUUAUUAAACGUGGCAGAUAAAUACUUAUCAGCCGUCUACCUUUCAUCAAAAGUCAUCGUUUGAUAAAAGUUACGAGCAGCGAGUUCAGGAAUACGCUGCUGGUCAACUUAAACCCUUCAACAACAAUUGGCCAACAGACCUAGAACAAUUUACGGGAAGCUGUCAAUUCAACAAAUCCUGCCGUCCGUCUGUGCAAGCCAGCUAACAAAAUGAAAACUACGAACUGGACUACAAUCGUUCCUAGAAUAUUCAAUAAGAUCAACAUCGCCUACUAAACAAAAGAAGAUUCGUUUAAUUUGUUUUCAGAAAUUCAGCAAUAAACAUACCUAACUACUUUUCUCACUAGGAUUUCCAGCCACUUACAGAAUAGGGAAUUGUUUUUAUUGCUAUACUCUUAUAAUGAACUAAAUUUUUUUUACCUUUAAUUCACCAUAUACAUUUCUAAUAAUAGUGAUCAGAGAAUCAAAACACUUGUUUGUCCAAGUACACCAGUUAUGGAGUGUUCGUAGACUCUAAAAUGUCGGUAAAAUGUGCAACUCGUCAUUAAUUCACAAGUUUUUUGCUGAGUAAACACAAAACAAACACAAGCGCAGUACCAAGGACAAAUGCUGGAUAAUGUCAUCUAUCCCCGACAUCAAAAUAUCCAAGAUUGACAUUGCUUCGUCAAACGAGCGCUAAAAAGGAGCAAAUUAUGAGCAGCAAUACUCCAGUUUGGCAAAACUAUGUCGUCCGACACCAGUCGAAAUGGAUAAAUAUCUACGCAGACUGCUAAAGGGUAUUCAAAACUGCUGCUGCCAAAUAAAAAGUGACGAGCCGCCUACCGUUCAAUUAAAGCGAGUUCAGGAUUGCCCCUCUGUUCACCUAAAGCCCCUCAACAACAAUAGGCUAGCAGACAGAGUCAAGUUUACAAAAAUCCCUGCCGUCCGUUUGUGCAUUGAUCAGAGAAUCAAAACACUUGUUUGUCCAAGUACACCAGUUAUGGAGUGUUCGUAGACUCUAAAAUGUCGGUAAAAUGUGCAACUCGUCAUUAAUUCACAAGUUUUUUGCUGAGUAAACACAAAACAAACACAAGCGCAGUACCAAGGACAAAUGCUGGAUAAUGUCAUCUAUCCCCGACAUCAAAAUAUCCAAGAUUGACAUUGCUUCGUCAAACGAGCGCUAAAAAGGAGCAAAUUAUGAGCAGCAAUACUCCAGUUUGGCAAAACUAUGUCGUCCGACACCAGUCGAAAUGGAUAAAUAUCUACGCAGACUGCUAAAGGGUAUUCAAAACUGCUGCUGCCAAAUAAAAAGUGACGAGCCGCCUACCGUUCAAUUAAAGCGAGUUCAGGAUUGCCCCUCUGUUCACCUAAAGCCCCUCAACAACAAUAGGCUAGCAGACAGAGUCAAGUUUACAAAAAUCCCUGCCGUCCGUUUGUGCAUGUAAGUUUGGUAGCUGUGAAGGCAUUACAGCCUCUUCCAGAAUAGCGCAUUGUUUUUUAUGCCAUACUCGUAUAAGUCACUAAAGAUUUCUUACCUUUACUUCAUAUCGUCCAAUUCUUAAUAAAGUAAUUAGAGAAACAAAACAUAUGUUUGUCCAAGAAUUCCAGUAGUGGGAUGUUCGUAGACUCUAAAAUGGUCGCUAGCAUAUGGAAUUAGUCCUUAAUUCACAACGUUCUUGCCGAUUGACCACAAAACAAAUCCAGGGCCUGUACCAAGGACAAAUGCAGGGGCCGAAUUACCGCAUGCGUGAACGAGUAAACUUGGGUCGCAAUUCUCCACUUUUGUAAAACGAUUUCGUCCGGAAUCAGCUAAAAUUAAUAAUAAUCUAAGCAGACUGCUAAAAGACAACAAAAACUGCUGCAGCCAGUGAUCAGCCUAAUACCGCUCACCAAAAGUCACCGUUCAAUGAAAGCUGAGCUCGAAUAUGCUGCCACCCAAUCUCGAUUUCCUUCAUUUAUAUGCAGGCUCUUGUUUGAAUGCAAAUAAAGUCCUCUUGAACGUGGCAAUAACUUUCAUUUAUUUGUAGCAUACAGCUAAACCUAUUAUUGCUAAGUAUGGCGAUCAUCUUACUACCGUCCACCAAAAGACACCGUUCAAUGAAAGCUGGGGCCGAAUUACAGUAUAAGUGAACGAGUAAAAUCGUUCGAAAUCUCUCUAUUGUCAUUAUGUAUCUUUUUGUUGAACGGGGAUUUUCGAAAUUUAGGAACGCGAGUAUUUAAGUCGUUCAUUAUUUAUCAAAACUUUGACAAAAAAAUGUAUAAACAAGAGGCAUAACUUCCAUUAAAUACAAGUUGAAAUACAUUUCGAUACGAAAGCGCACUCGAUCACGUAUGCGGCAAUACGGCCCCUGAGCUCAAAUACGCCGCCACUCAAUCUCGAUGUCUUUUAUUUUUAUGCAGGCUCUUGUAUAAAUGCAAAGUCUUAUUAAACGUGGCAGAUAAAUACUUAUCAGCCGUCUACCUUUCAUCAAAAGUCAUCGUUUGAUAAAAGUUACGAGCAGCGAGUUCAGGAAUACGCUGCUGGUCAACUUAAACCCUUCAACAACAAUUGGCCAACAGACCUAGAACAAUUUACGGGAAGCUGUCAAUUCAACAAAUCCUGCCGUCCGUCUGUGCAAGCCAGCUAACAAAAUGAAAACUACGAACUGGACUACAAUCGUUCCUAGAAUAUUCAAUAAGAUCAACAUCGCCUACUAAACAAAAGAAGAUUCGUUUAAUUUGUUUUCAGAAAUUCAGCAAUAAACAUACCUAACUACUUUUCUCACUAGGAUUUCCAGCCACUUACAGAAUAGGGAAUUGUUUUUAUUGCUAUACUCUUAUAAUGAACUAAAUUUUUUUUACCUUUAAUUCACCAUAUACAUUUCUAAUAAUAGUGAUCAGAGAAUCAAAACACUUGUUUGUCCAAGUACACCAGUUAUGGAGUGUUCGUAGACUCUAAAAUGUCGGUAAAAUGUGCAACUCGUCAUUAAUUCACAAGUUUUUUGCUGAGUAAACACAAAACAAACACAAGCGCAGUACCAAGGACAAAUGCUGGAUAAUGUCAUCUAUCCCCGACAUCAAAAUAUCCAAGAUUGACAUUGCUUCGUCAAACGAGCGCUAAAAAGGAGCAAAUUAUGAGCAGCAAUACUCCAGUUUGGCAAAACUAUGUCGUCCGACACCAGUCGAAAUGGAUAAAUAUCUACGCAGACUGCUAAAGGGUAUUCAAAACUGCUGCUGCCAAAUAAAAAGUGACGAGCCGCCUACCGUUCAAUUAAAGCGAGUUCAGGAUUGCCCCUCUGUUCACCUAAAGCCCCUCAACAACAAUAGGCUAGCAGACAGAGUCAAGUUUACAAAAAUCCCUGCCGUCCGUUUGUGCAUGUAAGUUUGGUAGCUGUGAAGGCAUUACAGCCUCUUCCAGAAUAGCGCAUUGUUUUUUAUGCCAUACUCGUAUAAGUCACUAAAGAUUUCUUACCUUUACUUCAUAUCGUCCAAUUCUUAAUAAAGUAAUUAGAGAAACAAAACAUAUGUUUGUCCAAGAAUUCCAGUAGUGGGAUGUUCGUAGACUCUAAAAUGGUCGCUAGCAUAUGGAAUUAGUCCUUAAUUCACAACGUUCUUGCCGAUUGACCACAAAACAAAUCCAGGGCCUGUACCAAGGACAAAUGCAGGGGCCGAAUUACCGCAUGCGUGAACGAGUAAACUUGGGUCGCAAUUCUCCACUUUUGUAAAACGAUUUCGUCCGGAAUCAGCUAAAAUUAAUAAUAAUCUAAGCAGACUGCUAAAAGACAACAAAAACUGCUGCAGCCAGUGAUCAGCCUAAUACCGCUCACCAAAAGUCACCGUUCAAUGAAAGCUGAGCUCGAAUAUGCUGCCACCCAAUCUCGAUUUCCUUCAUUUAUAUGCAGGCUCUUGUUUGAAUGCAAAUAAAGUCCUCUUGAACGUGGCAAUAACUUUCAUUUAUUUGUAGCAUACAGCUAAACCUAUUAUUGCUAAGUAUGGCGAUCAUCUUACUACCGUCCACCAAAAGACACCGUUCAAUGAAAGCUGGGGCCGAAUUACAGUAUAAGUGAACGAGUAAAAUCGUUCGAAAUCUCUCUAUUGUCAUUAUGUAUCUUUUUGUUGAACGGGGAUUUUCGAAAUUUAGGAACGCGAGUAUUUAAGUCGUUCAUUAUUUAUCAAAACUUUGACAAAAAAAUGUAUAAACAAGAGGCAUAACUUCCAUUAAAUACAAGUUGAAAUACAUUUCGAUACGAAAGCGCACUCGAUCACGUA